GUCACUGACUAGAGAAAGAAUAUCAUACGCUCUGCUUAUUUGAAUGAUUUGAAAAGGGUCCUGCAGGCCAGGAUUGUGUCGAGGAGGCUCUGUUCAGGAGCAGGGAUGCCCCUGACAAGGGAACAGCGUCCAGACGACCCUCGGAAGCUUGGACCAUUGGCACCCAUUCCCCCCCACCCACUGCAGAACUUGCUGAGAAACAACUCAGACGAGGUCUUGAUCCAGCACAGCCAGAAUGACAACAAGAGCUGUUGUGAAAGCACAUGGCCUCCUUUUGUACGAACAUUCAUCUGCAGUUUCUGGCUACAAGUACAGCUGCUGUAAUGUAGGAGGACCGCAUGCUGUGGUACAACCAGCAAUUUGCUCCCUGCAUCAAAACAAAAGUGCCUUUUGCUACGACCCUCGAACCAAUCACUUCAA